ACUGAAGCAGUGCACUAUCAGCGUAAGAUAUCUAAACAAUGUAGAGAAUGUACAAACUGAUCAGACAUGUACUGAUUUUUACAAAUUUGGGAUUGUUAAAAUGUUUUUUUCCCCCAAAGUCAGAGAAAACUCACCCGGAGUAAAAUAGUUCCUGUGGAUUUGGCAUUUUAUAGGAUGGAGAGGACCUCACUCUAGCUAACUAAUGGACAUGUCUAAUCUCGGUUCCAUUCAACGUUACUCAAAAAACAAUGUUCAUAAGACUACUAAAUCUGUGGGAGUAUCCUUUUUAUAAAAAUCAC